CUCUCUCCAGGUUGCGCCACGUCACCCGCCACGUCAUAAAGUCGGUUUCUGCGCAUUCGACAACUGUCCCGUUAACCAAAACGCAUCACCUUAUUUAUUUGGAAAUCGGAUGGGCUUUUGAUGGUUAUGUGUGUAUUUUAUGUUAGUGGGCUUAAAUUUCGGAUGGGGUGUUCAGUCCAAUAACCCAUUAUCCCUAAUCCUAAUCUGGAGACACAAAGAGAAGUGGGUUCUCCUCUCUUCUUCCUUCUACGGCGACUCUGUGAUGCCUGAGCUUCUUCGAAAUCUCUGAAACGGUUUGAGUUGUGGCGACAUAAGAAGAAGAGAUACAACUUUUUGACUCUUGCGAUUUCACAUUCAAUGCUUCUUAAUUAUCCCUCUUAUAGACGGUGUCUCUCCACCUAUAUAAAGGGUUCAUGUCCACUGCAAUCUCUGAUUAAGUCAGCCAACAAUGAAGGUUCUGAAAGGUGUGUGAGACGACUCUUCAUGAUUAAUCUCUCCGUUAGUCUCGGUCAGUAUCGUUUCGUCUGAGAUUCAUCUCCGAUCUGAUACGUUACGGGAACCUUUGUUUCAUCGAGAUUACAACCUCCCACGCUCGGUUCUGUUGUCAACUCCAUAAAAUGGAUUAAUACGAGUAAGCACUCUGCGAUUAGUCUCAUUUUUCAGGGUUUCCUGAUUGGUGUGAGGUUAGGAAAGUAAUACCGUUCACGCGGUGCUUUGCCGUUUUCACUUUUGAUCUCAGGUUAUGCAAUGAUUGAGAUUUUUUUCUUGAAUGUAUAUUGAGAUAUUAUGUGAUAUGAUGUUGAAAAUUGAGUUCAUUGUUUAAGCUGUUGUGCGAGCAUACUCUUUUCUGGGAUCACAAAACUUGAUUUCUUAAAAUCAGACUCCACUCUAACUUGCAACUUUAUACGCUAUAUUCUCUCAAUGGAUUGCGUGAUUAUUGUUCUCAUUGAUUUCAUUUUAAAAUAUGUACGUACAGUCCGCAGAGCUUGAGGAGAGUAUUAGAUUCAAAAUGUGUAAAGAAAUUUAGGAGAAAAGGCUAGAGGAACUUGGCCCUGCAAGAAAAGGCAUGAGGAUUCUAUCAUGGAUUAAGUUUUUUUUUAUUUGGGUCAAAUAUGGAGUAAAUUUUUUUUAUUUGAGUAAUUAACUUUUUAGCACACCACUGCAAUUUAUUGUAUUUGGCAGCUUAAACUAAAGAUUUGUACAGCUCGAAAUCAUAUUGAUAUCCCUAAACUACCUACA